GACGAACGCUGGCGGCGUGCUUAACACAUGCAAGUCGAACGGAAAGGCCCUGCUUCUUUCGGGUGCUCGAGUGGCUAACGGGUGAGUAACACGUGAGUAACCUGCCCUCGACUUUGGGAUAACUUCAGGAAACUGGGGCUAAUACCGGCUAGGAGCUCCUGCUGCAUGGUGGGGGUUGGAAAGUUUCGGCGGCUGGGGAUGGAGUCGCGGCUUAUCAGCUUGUUGGUGGGGUAGUGGCUCACCAAGGCUUUGACGGGUAGCCGGCCUGAGAGGGUGACCGGCGACAUUGGGACUGAGAUAGGGCCCAGACGGCUACGGGAGGCAGCGGUGGGAAAUAUUGCACAAUGGGCGGAAGCCUGAUGCAGCAACGCCGCGUGCGGGAUGUCGGCCUUCCGGUUGUAAACCGCUUUCGCCUGUGACGAAGCGUGAGUGACGGUAAUGGGUAAAGAAGCACCGGCUAACUACGUG
rnacentral:rRNA from 1 species